AUAUACAGAGGGAGACUCUUAU
rnacentral:miRNA from 3 species